ACCUUUGAUAGUGAUGACAAACUUUUUUCCCCGGCAUAACGAUAUUUGCUGAAAGACUUUUGAAAAGCCAAUUUUGUCUGAGUCAAAGGC